CCUUUGUGUAUCGGUGAGGUGCUACAGGAGCCAGCAAUGGCUUUACUUGGUCAACACCAUCACAAUUCCUAUAUUCUGUGUAAACACUGCCCUCCAUGACCAGUUUCAGAUAAUUGAACGCUGUGUGAAAUAUUAGAGACCCCCACACACCUUGGUUGGUUGGCUGGCUAACUAGCUAGCUAAAGGUGCUAGGCUCCUAGCUAGCUAGCUAGCUAGCCGAGUCGCCAGCAAAUACCAAACGCUAAGCCGGUUGAGUUUUGCAGUAAGUCAAAGAAAGUCCAACAAAUCGUUUCGCGGUAACCUCCCUUAAUAGCACGCGUAAAA